UACGGAGGGUGCAAGCGUUAUCCGGAUUUACUGGGUUUAAAGGGUGCGUAGGUGGGCUAGUAAGUCCGUGGUGAAAUCCCCGAGCUUAACUCGGGAACUGCCGUGGAUACUAUUAGUCUUGAAUAUCGUGGAGGUAAGCGGAAUAUGUCAUGUAGCGGUGAAAUGCUUAGAUAUGACAUAGAACACCGAUAGCGGAGGCAGCUUACUACGCGAUUAUUGACACUGAGGCACGAAAGCGUGGGGAUCAAACAGG
rnacentral:rRNA from 1 species